rnacentral:rRNA from 1 species
GGUUCUGCUAUCACUCUUGGAUGGGACCUGCGGUGCAUUAGCUAGUUGGUAGGGGUAAACGGGCCUACCAAGGCGAUGAUGCAUAGCCGAGUUGAGAGACUGAUCGGCCACAUUGGGACUGAGACACGGCCCAAACUCCUACGGGAGGCAGCAGUAGGGAAUCUUCCACAAUGGACGCAAGUCUGAUGGAGCAACGCCGCGUGAGUGAAGAAGGGUUUCGGCUCGUAAAGCUCUGUUGUUGGUGAAGAAGGACAGGGGGUAGUAACUGACCUUUGUUUGACGGUAAUCAAUUAGAAAAGUCAUGGGCUAACUACGUGCCAGCAGCCGCGGGUAAAU